AUCGGCCACGUGUAUUCUUGGGGAAUUAACACACAUUGUGAGAUGUUAUUGCUUGAGAAUACACGUAGCUGAC
rfam:Operophtera brumata OBRT01_Sc01295, whole genome shotgun sequence.